rnacentral:rRNA from 1 species
GGCGAAGAAACCUUACCCUGCUCUUNACAUCCAGAGAAUUCGCUAGAGAUAGCUUAGUGCCUUCGGGAACUCUGAGACAGGUGCUGCAUGGCUGUCGUCAGCUCGUGUUGUGAAAUGUUGGGUUAAGUCCCGCAACGAGCGGCAACCCCUAUCCCUAUUUGCCAGCACGUAAUGGUGGGAACUCUAGGGAGACUGCCGGUGAUAAACCGGAGGAAGGUGGGGACGACGUCAAGUCAUCAUGGCCCUUACGAGUAGGGCUACACACGUGCUACAAUGGCGAGUACAGAGGGUUGCAAAGCCGCGAGGUGGAGCUAAUCUCACAAAGCUCGUCGUAGUCCGGAUUGGAGUCUGCAACUCGACUCCAUGAAGUCGGAAUCGCUAGUAAUCGUGGAUCAGAAUGCCACGGUGAAUACGUUCCCGGGCCUUGUACACACCGCCCGUCACACCAUGGGAGUGGGCUGCAAAAGAAGUGGGUAGCUUAACCUUCGGGAGGGCGCUCACCACUUUGUGGUUCAUGACUGGGGUGAAGUCGUAACAAGGUAACCGUAAAGGGC